ensembl:snoRNA C15F1.15 ncRNA
CACAGAUAGAAAAAUGUCAAAAGGGGAAAUGAAGUGGUUGAACAGAAUAGAAAUGGACAUAGAGAACUUGAUGAGCAACUAAAUUGCACCAACGGACAUCUGGUUGCAUAUUUACAACUAUGGGGAGACACGAGAAUGCUCUAUAAUAUGUCUAAAAAUUAUGAUCGAAUGCCGAUCGAAAGUUUCUUUUUUCAUGAACUUGCUAAAGUCGGUUAUGAUUAAAGAUCACUAAGCGAUAAGUUAAA